rnacentral:lncRNA from 1 species
CAAUAAUCGACCUUAUCUUUGUGCGCAGAAUCUAAAAGUGAUCUCAGUUGUCUGAAUUCUAAAAUAUCUGAGAUUAUAGUAAUUCGGGACUUUAUAGUUCAGAGUCAUUUUUUACUUUUGAAACAAUCCCCAAAUUAAAAGUAAGAUUAACAAAAUUAUGUGAAAUUGUUUUAUGGAUUAUUUAUCUUGUUCUGAACUCGACAUAUUUCCAUUUUUAUUCUGAAAAGUGAUGAAAAACAACACUUUUUAGACCAGGAGAUAUGGAGUACCAACUUCAACAAUUCUAAUAAAUGAGUGGGCUACUAUCAACAAUAAUGGUAAAAAAACACAAACUACGGAAAUAUUUGAAAUCUUAAAACAUUGUUUUUGAGCAAAACAGGAUGGAUUGACUUAAUGUAUACAAUUCAAAAUCAAAUUAGAUUUAUGUUAAAGGGUUUUCGAAAGUCAACUUAUAAAAAAAUAAAUUAACUUAUAAUUUGAGGUAUAGAAUGUGUCCUUCAAAAAUGAAGUGUCGACAACAGAUGGGGUUUGUACAAGAUUAUGUAGUAAGCUUCAUUCAAAUAAUGUGAAGUAUUAUAUUCUUCAUUGAAUAAUAAUGUAAUUAAUUAAUAACGAUGACUAUUUAUACUUUAGGGAUGGAAAACUUCCUACAGACUGUAUCGAUUACUCAUAUCCCCAAUUCAAGACUUUAGGAGGAUGAAAAUAAUGUAGUUUUAAGUCAUUACAAUUAAUUGAGCCGGAAGCUAGUAAAAUCGCAUUUAUUUUUACACGAACUUAAAUGGAUUUGGAAUUGGAAUAAGUUUUAUUAAAAAAAUAUGGGAUAUUUACUUAUUAAUGUUGCAUUCAUAAUGAAAUUAAUUCAUAGGGAUGAAGAAGAUUGUUAUAUUUGGUGCCGAAAUAGAACCAAUUGGAAACAUCAGUUAGACUGUACAUUUAAUUCCUAUGAAGUAAUAAUUAUGGCUGAUGAGCGAGCCGGGAGUCAGAAGAGUCACAUGUAUUUUCUCACGGAGUCGGUUUGGAACACAGAGAAUAUGUAUAUUUAUCUAUGAUUUGGAGCCAUACUUUUUAAAUAGCUGCAGAUUUUGAGCCAGGAUCUCUAAAUAUUAUAAAUCCAACCUCAAGAAACUAUUCGAAUCAUACUCUAGCAAUUGAGUUUAAAUUCUCAAUCCCUAAAAUAAUGAACGAACAUAAAAAAUUUCAUAAAAACUACACACAUCUAAGAAUCAAUUAUUCUGAAUUUAUAGAUUGGAAUAAUAUUUUAUGAUUUUGGCUCAAAAUCCAACCAUUUGAAUUAUGCGACUUCAAAUCCAUUUGACUCAUUACGCAAAUACACUUUACUUUAUGAAUUAAUCACAUUAUUAUCCAAAGAUCAAUCGAAGAAUAAAAUUUCAUAUUAAUUAAUUAUUUGAAUGAAACUUACUACUUAAUAUUACUUAAUAUUUUUAACAUUUACGUUAGAAAAACCUAUAAUAUAAAUUUACUUUGAUUCUGAACUUAAUACAUUCACUCAAGCUAUCAUUUUUUUGUUAAAGAACAAAUUUUUGUGAUUUCAGAUACCAUCCCAAAAUGGAAGUGUUGCUUAAAAUACCACGUGAUGUUAAGAGAAAAUUAUAACUACUACAAAUAUUAUAGCUUUAUAAUUGUACAAAGUUCAUAUGAGUUACCAAGUCCAAUUUAUCAUCAAAAUUGAUGUUUUUUACCACAAUAGGUUGCGUGAUUGGAGCUUAUGCUCCCCCAGAUAGUAUUAGAACUCAUCAACUCAAAACAUAGAGGUAAAUAAAGUAUAGAAUAUCGAGGACAAUUUAUUGAAGCGUUCAGCUGACGAACAACAAAGAAACAUAAGGAUCAAAACAUUCAAUUAUUAUGUCAACAUAAUCCUUUAUUUAAUUAGUAAUAAAAUAACCUUCUAAUUUUUACAAAAGGAGUUUGGUAUUAGUGUUCAAUGCCUGCCUGCAUUGCAUUCAAUUGUAAUUCAAGAACGGUGGCUUUUUCUAAAUCCCCAGUGCACGAUCUUAUUUCCUAAAAAUCCAGCGCUUCUAAAGCAAUGGAUAGUAAACUGCUGUCGCCAAGAUUGGAAACCAACCAAAUGGUCAAGAAUCUGUUCUAAGCACGAAUCUGUUCGAAUCUUAAAGAGAAGAACCUAUGAAGAAGACAGUACUAUAAAAAGGAAUUAUGAUUGAAAAAAGGUCAAUUGUAAAUAUAGUCGUUGAUCAUACAUAUGUUCUACCUAGUACUAUGGACUCCUUGGGGCAUGUGACAAAAAGAGCAAAAAAUAAAUUUAUGAUUCUUUCUGAAAAAAAUGAACUUCCUUCAACACAUUUAAAGACUUUAAAAA